GGAUGUGAGGGCGAUCUGGCUGCAACAUCUGUCACCCCAUUGAUCGCCAGGGUUGAUUCGGCUGAUCUGGCUGGCUAGGCGGGUGUCCCCUUCCUCCCUCACUGCUCCAUGUGCAUCCAUCCCGAAGCUGUGCGCUUGGUCGAAGAGGACGACCAUCCCCACUAGAGAAGGACUGGUCUUUGGUCAAGGGUAUACGAGUAACUGCCCUCCCCUGCUAGAACCUCCAAACAAGCUCUCAAAUAUAUGUAGGGCAAGAGUCACCUUUGGUUAUGUUUUCUAAAUGUUUAAAAUGUAUACACC
ensembl:misc_RNA 7SK 7SK RNA